rnacentral:rRNA from 1 species
CCUACGGGUGGCAGCAGUGAGGAAUAUUGGUCAAUGGGCGCGAGCCUGAACCAGCCAAGUAGCGUGAAGGAUGACUGCCCUACGGGUUGUAAACUUCUGUUAUAAAGGAAUAAAGUGAGGCACGUGUGCCUUUUUGUAUGUACUUUAUGAAUAAGGAUCGGCUAACUCCGUGCCAGCAGCCGCGGUAAUACGGAGGAUCCGAGCGUUAUCCGGAUUUAUUGGGUUUAAAGGGAGCGUAGAUGGGCUGUUAAGUCAGCGGUAAAAGCCCGGGGCUCAACCCCGGCGAGCCGUUGAAACUGGCUGUCUUGAGCUGUCGUGAGGUAUGCGGAAUGCGCAGUGUAGCGGUGACAUGCUUAGAUAUUGCGCAGAACUCCGAUUGCGAAGGCAGCAUACCGGCGGCGAUCUGACGCUGCGGCACGAAAGCGUGGGUAUCGAACAGGAUUAGCUACCCCUGUAGUC